rnacentral:rRNA from 1 species
GACGAACGCUGGCGGCGUGCUUAACACAUGCAAGUCGAACGGUAAGGCCCUUCGGGGUACACGAGUGGCGAACGGGUGAGUAACACGUGGGUGAUCUGCCCUGCACUUCGGGAUAAGCCUGGGAAACUGGGUCUAAUACCGGAUAGGACUCCUGCCUGCAUGGGUGGGGGUGGAAAGCUUUUGCGGGGUGGGAUGGGCCCGCGGCCUAUCAGCUUGUUGGUGGGGUGAUGGCCCACCAAGGCGACGACGGGGAGCCGGCCUGAGGGGGUGACCGGCCACACUGGGACUGAGAUACGGCCCAGACUCCUACGGGAGGCAGCAGUGGGGAAUAUUGCACAAUGGGCGCAAGCCUGAUGCAGCGACGCCGCGUGAGGGAUGACGGCCUUCGGGUUGUAAACCUCUUUCAGCACAGACGAAGCGCAAGUGACGGUAUGUGCAGAAGAAGGACCGGCCAACUACGUGCCAGCCGCCGCAGUAA